rnacentral:rRNA from 1 species
CUUGAACGCUGGCGGCAGGCCUAACACAUGCAAGUCGAACGAGUUGCGGCCGGGUGAGUAAUGUCUGGGAAACUGCCUGAUGGAGGGGGAUAACUACUGGACACGGUAGCUAAUACCGCAUACCAUCGGAUGUGCCCAGAUGGGAUUAGCUAGUAGGUGGGGUAAAGGCUCACCUAGGCGAAGAUCCCUAGCUGGUCUGAGCGGAUGACCAUCCACGCGGGAACGGAGACACGGUCCAGACUCCUACGGGAGGCAGCAGUGGGGAAGAUGGCACAAUGGGCGCAAGCCUGAGGCAGCCAUGCCGCGUGUAUGAAGAAGGCCUGCGGGUUGUAAAGUACGUUCAGCGGGGAGGCGUUACCCGCAGAAGAAGCACCGGCUAACUCCGUGCCAGCCGCCGCGGUAAUUC